rnacentral:sRNA from 1 species
UCCUCGAACUGCCGCGGGUAGAUGACC